UGGCUAAAGCACCUGUCUCGUGAACAGGAGAUCCUGGGUUCAACUCCCAGUGGUGCCUUGCGGUGGCCUUUGCUCGCAUUUUCCUA
rnacentral:miRNA from 1 species